rnacentral:rRNA from 1 species
GACAGAGGGUGCAAGCGUUGUUCGGAAUUACUGGGCGUAAAGCGCGUGUAGGCUGCUCGGUAAGUCGGAUGUGAAAGCCCUGGGCUCAACCUAGGAAGUGCAUUCGAAACUUCCGAGCUGGAGUGCUGGAGAGGAAGGCGGAAUUCUCGGUGUAGAGGUGAAAUUCGUAGAUAUCGAGAGGAACACCGGUGGCGAAGGCGGCCUUCUGGACAGCGACUGACGCUGAGACGCGAAAGCGUGGGGAGCAAACAGG